rnacentral:rRNA from 1 species
AACGAACGCUGGCGGCAUGCCUAACACAUGCAAGUCGAACGAUUGCCUUCGGGUGAUAGUGGCGCACGGGUGCGUAACGCGUGGGAAUCUGCCCUUAGGUUCGGAAUAACAGCUGGAAACGGCUGCUAAUACCGGAUGAUAUCGCAAGAUCAAAGAUUUAUCGCCUGAGGAUGAGCCCGCGUUGGAUUAGGUAGUUGGUGGGGUAAAGGCCUACCAAGCCGACGAUCCAUAGCUGGUCUGAGAGGAUGAUCAGCCACACUGGGACUGAGACACGGCCCAGACUCCUACGGGAGGCAGCAGUGGGGAAUAUUGGACAAUGGGCGCAAGCCUGAUCCAGCAAUGCCGCGUGAGUGAUGAAGGCCCUAGGGUUGUAAAGCUCUUUUACCCGGGAAGAUAAUGACUGUACCGGGAGAAUAAGCCCCGGCUAACUCCGUG